rnacentral:rRNA from 1 species
ACGCUCGACACCUACGGGAGCAGCAGUGGGGAAUAUUGCACAAUGGGGGAAACCCUGAUGCAGCGACGCCGCGUGAAGGAAGAAGUAUCUCGGUAUGUAAACUUCUAUCAGCAGGGAAGAAAGUGACGGUACCUGACUAAGAAGCCCCGGCUAACUACGUGCUAGCAGCCGCGGUAAUCUGAGCGGGNUGGCAAGGC